rnacentral:lncRNA from 1 species
UUUUUUUUUUUUUUUUUUGUCUUUUCAACACACUGCAGACAAAAUGGACUUGUAGUUUUGUACCCUACAACAUCAAUGAUAAGUCUAAGGGCAAUGUCCUCUUACUCUUCAUGAUAAAGAAGCCUUAGGGUUUCCGUAUCUAAGAAUGCUGGCUGCAUAGACUCAUUGAUAUACACUAAUGUUUGGUGAGUGGCUACUGGGUAGUCUGUUUGAACUUGACUUUCAAAGUUCCUUCUCUUAGUGCUUGACUUAGCAGGCUUCCUGAAGACAACUGACACCCAUUCAGCUAUCUUUCAGCAAAAUAUAAUUGACUUUUGCCUUUGUAUGUGAGGAAACUUUGAGGAUCUCAAUCACGGACACAAGAGAAGGGAAUCCAAUCUACUUCUAUGCCUAGGCCAAUUAUCUUCCAUCCAUGAACCUCAAGGUUUCUCUUCUCCUUUUAUAUGCCCAAUGGAAUAAUCACUAUGAGGAUUUAAAUUUCCCCAAAUCAAGGGCUGGUUUCUCUUGAAGAUGAAAGAAACCCCAACCAGAUCCUGAAUGUUCUUUAGCAGGUAGUAGAGUAUAUAUUAAUCUUUUCUGAAGAAAUACAACGUUCUCCUUUGAUUCUUUGGCAAUAGAUAUUAUCCCAUCAAUCUGUUAAACUGUAAUUGAAAUUGCUCUUCACCAUUCCUCAUUUCCAAAAAUAAUUGUCAACAUCCUUUUUGGCCUUUGCAUGGCAAAUGCUGAACCAUCAGAGCUUAUCUAAAAGGCCUUUGAGUUUUACUGGUUGCUUUCAGUUUUUAUCAAUUUCUCAAAUAAAAUCUCUGUUGGGGAAAUUACCCCAAAAUACACACACACACACACACACACACACACACACACACACACACACAUGUUAUGUAUUUAUUACAUACAAUUUAAGUCAUUAACAAAGAUGCAACUGUGCAAAUUUGCAUAUGCACAAAAGCAAUGAUGGCAAGUUUUUAUUCAGACUCCCUUGUUAUUGGAAGGUCACUGGAUUACUUUGCUAUAUUAUAAAUGUAAUAAGAACCACAUGUUAAUGGCAAGCAUGGCAUUUAAAUAGGUAAAAUGCUGAAUGUUGGGAAUGAAGUAGUGUUAAGAUUUCAGUUCUGUCCAUUCUCUAUUUACUAGGAACACUCAAGAAAAUAAUCAAUGACUUAUACUUUUCUCCAAAAUGAAAUAAUAACAGUAUCAGUGCUGAAGUAAAUAUAAUAAUUAAUCAAUAUGAAAUGCCUAGCACAAUACUUGACACACAGUAAGUGCUACAACAUGUUAGCUUUCAAUGAUUAUUAUUUUCAUUAUGUUUCUUUUGCAUGAAUUUCCCAAGAUCUACAUGGGAAAAUAAACCUUUUAUUUACCUUAGUUAACAAACUUGGACAUUGGUCAAUGAGACAUUGGAAAAUCACUAAGCAUGAAUUGUAAUUGAAAUUAUACAUUAAAAGACACUAGUGAAAAGAGGCUGCUAGAUGGCUAUCACAAAUAAGAGUGAAAUAUUAAAAUCUAUCUCACAUGAUGAAACGGUCACGACGUGGUUGGCCAGUUGCCUUCACCCAUAGAACUGGAUUUUUCAAAGGACAGAAUGAGAGGUAGGUGGGAUUUUGCCAGAGGCAGCUGGCUCUGAGUUAAUUCUAAAUCUUUGUGCUCUCAUGACAUUCCAUACUCCACUGCAUGAAGUUAACAUUGUGCAUUUAAACAGGAUGUUAGGCAGAAAUAUUUUAUUUAACAAAUCAUUGAAUAUGUCCAUGUUUUUAGAAUUAUCCCAGAAAGUAGACAUUAAUAUUAUUUUUACC